rnacentral:rRNA from 1 species
UACAGAGGGUGCAAGCGUUGUUCGGAAUUAUUGGGCGUAAAGGGCGCGUAGGCGGUGCGGUAAGUCUUUUGUGAAAUCUCCGGGCUCAACUCGGAGUCUGCAGGAGAAACUGCCGUGCUUGAGUGUGGGAGAGGUGAGUGGAAUUCCCGGAUGUAGCGGUGAAAUGCGUAGAUAUCGGGAGGAACACCUGUGGCGAAAGCGGCUCACUGGACCACAACUGACGCUGAGGCGCGAAAGCUAGGGAGCAAACAGGAUAGA